AGUUGUUGGGAGAUAUAAAUUGGAUAAGA
rnacentral:piRNA from 1 species